GCAUUGGUGGUUCAGUGGUAGAAUUCUAGCUUGCCAUGUUGGAGACCUGGGUUCGAUUCCUAGCCAACGCA
rnacentral:tRNA from 1 species